UGGUGGAGUGAUUUGUCUGGUUAAUUCCGAUAACGAACGAGACCUUAACCUGCUAAAUAGUUAGGCUACGUUUUACGUGGUCGCCAACUUCUUAGAGGGACUAUCAGCGUUUAGCUGAUGGAAGUUUGAGGCAAUAACA
rnacentral:rRNA from 1 species